AAAGUCAGUGGUGUGUUCAGACUCCAUUUUAAACUGCGCAGAACAGUGAGAGGAAGACAGGUCGUCUGAGACACGUUCUGUCAGAUUUGGGAAGAUGGCUGAUUUGGAGGCAGACGAGGACAGAUCAGAGUCUCCAGUGUCCAGCUGUCAGCUGUCUUUGAAGAGUGACUGGUCCAUGGGUGAUCCUCCAUUCUUCAGUAAUGAACCUGGACCCUCAGACACAAAAGGGAAGAAGAGGAGUCAUGUUUCUGUGGAGGAGCAGCCGUCCUGCUGUAGUUUGUGUCAGGACGUCCUGAAGGAUCCAGUCUCUACCAGCUGUGGACACUGGUUCUGCAGACAGUGCAUCAGCUCAUACUGGGA